GGCUCCGUUCUACAGCUCCGUGGCAGGCCACCUGCUUUGAAUGCAGACGGUCCCGGGUUCAAUUUCCCGGGAGGGCUG